AGUGAAUCCACUGCAGGUUUGAAAUGAGCUCUACAAGGUGAUGCUUCAAGGGCCCGCAGUAUGUGGAUUUUUGAUUAAUUCAUAGUCACUAACACAGUUCCUCUUUCCUUCUAGGAUUCAUUCUCAGCACCAGGCUUUUGGCAGACAAGGAAAAAGGCAAUACUGGGGAGACAUUUCUAGACCCUCCAGUUCAGGGAAAGACAGCACCUGUGAGGCAAGAAAAUGAAGGCAUAAAGAAAAAUCUGGAAAAGACAAUGGCUGCUUCCCUUCCACAAACACCCGAACUUGACAUUCCUCCCGAUAACACUGAAAAUAUC
rnacentral:lncRNA from 11 species